GCUUAACACAUGCAAGUCGAGCGAGAAUCGUUUAUUGAAGGCUUCGGCUGGAAAUAGAUGAGGAAAGCGGCGAACGGGUGAGUAACGCGUGGGCAACCUGGCCUUAAGAAAAGGAUAGCCCCCGGAAACGGGGAGUAAUACUUUAUGAGAAUGAAAGAGGGCAUCCUACUUUCAUUCAAAGCGCAAGCGCUUAAGGAUGGGCCCGCGUAUCAUUAGCUAGUUGGUGAGAUAACAGCCAACCAAGGCAACGAUGAUUAGCCGGGCUGAGAGGGCGAACGGCCACAUUGGAACUGAGAGACGGUCCAAACUCCUACGGGAGGCAGCAGUGGGGAAUAUUGCGCAAUGGAGAAGAACUCUGACGCAGCAAUACCGCGUGAGCGAAGAAGGUCUUCGGAUCGUAAAGCUCUGUUAUCAGGGAAGAAGAAAAUGACGGUACCUGAUGAGCAAGUCCCGGCUAACUACGUGCCAGCCGCCGCAGUAA
rnacentral:rRNA from 1 species